UGGGGAAUUUUGGACAAUGGGCGAAAGCCUGAUCCAGCAAUGCCGCGUGUGUGAAGAAGGCCUUCGGGUUGUAAAGCACUUUUGUCCGGAAAGAAAUCCUUGGCUCUAAUACAGUCGGGGGAUGACGGUACCGGAAGAAUAAGCACCGGCUAACUACGUGCCAGCAGCCGCGGUAAUACGUAGGGUGCAAGCGUUAAUCGGAAUUACUGGGCGUAAAGCGUGCGCAGGCGGUUUGCUAAGACCGAUGUGAAAUCCCCGGGCUCAACCUGGGAACUGCAUUGGUGACUGGCAGGCUAGAGUAUGGCAGAGGGGGGUAGAAUUCCACGUGUAGCAGUGAAAUGCGUAGAGAUGUGGAGGAAUACCGAUGGCGAAGGCAGCCCCCUGGGCCAAAUACUGACGCUCAUGCACGAAAGCGUGGGGAGCAAACAGGAUUAGAUACCCUGGUAGUCCACGCCCUAAACGAUGUCAACUAGUUGUUGGGGAUUCAUUUCCUUAGUAACGUAGCUAACGCGUGAAGCUGACCGCCUGGGGAGUACGGUCGCAAGAUUAAAACUUAAAUGAAUUGACGGGG
rnacentral:rRNA from 1 species